GAUGAACGCUGGCGGCGUGCCUAAUACAUGCAAGUCGAGCGAACGGACGAGAAGCUUGCUUCUCUGAUGUUAGCGGCGGACGGGUGAGUAACACGUGGAUAACCUACCUAUAAGACUGGGAUAACUUCGGGAAACCGGAGCUAAUACCGGAUAAUAUUUUGAACCGCAUGGUUCAAAAGUGAAAGACGGUCUUGCUGUCACUUAUAGAUGGAUCCGCGCUGCAUUAGCUAGUUGGUAAGGUAACGGCUUACCAAGGCAACGAUGCAUAGCCGACCUGAGAGGGUGAUCGGCCACACUGGAACUGAGACACGGUCCAGACUCCUACGGGAGGCAGCAGUAGGGAAUCUUCCGCAACGGGCGAAAGCAUGACGGAGCAACGCGGCGUGAGUGAUGAAGGUCUUCGGAUCGUAAAACUCUGUUAUUAGGGAAGAACAUAUGUGUAAGUAAAUGUGCACAUCUUGACGGUACCUAAUCAGAAAGCAACGGCUAACCACGUG
rnacentral:rRNA from 1 species